CAUGAUCUGUCUAACACAACAACAUGUUAAUAUCUCUAAUUUUUUUCCCUCAUGCCUGUGAUAGCACAUCUUCCCUUUGUCUGCUGUAAUCUAAAAUCUUUACAACAUUCUCUUUGCUGCUGUGGUAAGGAAACCUGAUGCAUGUUGGAUAUAAGUAAGUUAGGGACUCUACAAUAGUAAGGAAUCUAUUGGUAGUAAGAUAGGAAAUCGAAAUACAUGUGAUAUUGGGGGUACUAAAUGUAUAUCCAGGAGAAACUGUGAGGGUCAUAGUACAUCCAGGUUAAUCAGGAGAAACUGUGAGGGUCAUAGUACAUCCAGGUUAAUCAGGAGAAACUGUGAGGGUCAUAGUACAUCCAGGUUAAUCAGGAGAAACUGUGAGGGUCAUAGUACAUCCAGGUUAAUCAGGAGAAACUGUGAGGGUCAUUGUACAUCCAAGUUAAUCAGGAGAAACUGAGGGUCAUAGUACAUUCAGGUUAAUCAGGAGAAACUGUGAGGGUCAUAGUACAUCCAGGUUAAUCAGGAGAAACUGUGAGGGUCAUAGUACAUCCAGGUUAAUCAGGAGAAACUGUGAGGGUCAUAGUACACCCACGUUAAUCAGGAGAAACUGUGAAGGUCCUAGUACAUCCAGGUUAAUCAGGAGAAAUUGUGAGGGUCAUAGUACAUCCAGGUUAAUCAGGAUCAACUGUGAGGGUCAUAGUACAUCCAGGUUAAUCAGGAGAAAUUGUGAGGGUCAUAGUACAUCCAGGUUAUCCAGGAGAAACUGUGAGAGUCAUAGUACAUCCAGGUUAAUCAGGAGAAACUGUGAGGGUCAUAGUACAUCCAGGUUAAUCAGGAGAAACUGUGAGGGUCAUAGUACAUCCAGGUUAAUCAGGAGAAAUUGUGAGGGUCAUAGUACAUCCAGGUUAAUCAGGAGAAACUGUGAGGGUCAUAGUACAACCAGGUUAAUCAGGAGAAACUGUGAGGGUCAUAGUACAUCCAGGUUAUAUAGGAGAAACUGUGAGGGUCAUAGUACACCCAGGUUAAUCAGGAGAAACUGUGAGGGUCAUAGUACAUCCAGGUUAUAUAGGAGAAACUGUGAGGGUCAUAGUACACCCAGGUUAAUCAGGAGAAACUGUGAGGGUCAUAGCAAGCCUAUCUGGUACUACUGACAGUCAUACCAGUAUAGCCUGUCCUCUGUAUCAGGCCUCUCUGGAUUUACUCAUAGACAUACCAGUAUAGCCUGCAUAGACAUACCAGUAUACAGAGGACAGGCUAUACUGGUAUGUCUAUGAGUAGUACCAGAGAGGAUUGAUACAGAGGACGAGCCUGUCCUCCUGUCAUACCUGGACUAGCCUGUCCUCUGUAUCAAUCCUCUCUCGUACUACUCAUAGACAUACCAGUAUAGUCUGUCCUGUGUUUUUCUGUCCCAUUCUAUUUCUCUGCUAUGUUGUAUUUCACCCCAUAAUAACACACUGUCUGAUAUACAGUAUUAUUUC